UACGUAGGGGACAAGCGUUGUCCGGAUUUACUGGGCGUAAAGGGCACGCAGGCGGUUUUUAAGUCAGAUGUGAAAGGUACCGGCUCAACCGGUGACAUGCAUUUGAAACUGAAAGACUUGAGUAUUGGAGAGGCAAGUGGAAUUCCUAGUGUAGCGGUGAAAUGCGUAGAUAUUAGGAGGAACACCGGUGGCGAAGGCGGCUUGCUGGACAAAUACUGACGCUGAGGUGCGAAAGCGUGGGGAGCAAACA
rnacentral:rRNA from 1 species